rnacentral:rRNA from 1 species
UACGAAGGGGGCUAGCGUUGCUCGGAAUCACUGGGCGUAAAGGGUGCGUAGGCGGGGCUUUAAGUCAGGGGUGAAAGCCUGGAGCUCAACUCCAGAACUGCCUUUGAUACUGAGGAUCUCGGGUUCGGGAGAGGGGAGUGGAACUGCGAGUGUAGAGGUGAAAUUCGUAGAUAUUCGCAAGAACACCAGUGGCGAAGGCGGCUCACUGGCCCGAUACUGACGCUGAAGCACGAAAGCGUGGGGAGCAAACAGG